CCUCACUUUCCUUCACUGAAUUGGGCUCCGUUGUUUCAUCACCCCCCAACCAAUGCGUUCAAAGGAUCACAGACAUUUGAGACUGAAAAGCCCUAGCUAUACAGGUUGACCAUGCAAUGCAUGCUUCCCGCAUGAUGCACAGACAACAUCUAUGGUUUGCAUGCCCUGAUAAAGAACCAUAUCAUUUGAAAUAGGUGGUUAGAGUUCGUUGGUCUCCAUUGGUGUGUACAGUUGGGUGCCAGACUUAUCCCCUGGUCAGGAACGGAUGCCGGAACCUACCAGAAGGAGCAAAGUUGGAUAUCAUAACAUGUCCAGCAACGUGAUUGCAAUGGUUUAGUAACCUCCAAAAUCACUUAAUUCACUAUUCACUUGCUAUUUUACAACUUGUCAGGCAAGACCUCAGAAUAAAAGUAUGUUAUGUGACACAAGUACCCUUUUGACACAUUGGCCGUUAUUGUCAGUCUCCCAUCAUGAGGCCGUUGAUUUGGACCCAAGUUACUGCCCUGAUGACACAGACAGCUUCCUCAACAACAACAGGCCCUCCCAGUCAACACCACAUAAGAUUGCUUGCUGCAGUUGUUCGAGAGAUGUCCAGUUUGCAGCCAAACAUGCAGCAUAGACAAGAUCAGCAUCGUGCAUACAUGCCCUUGCUGUGAGCAUUCCUAUGAAUGGAACAGUCAGCCACUUGUAUCCGGCCAGCAACCUUCACCUGUUAGCGGUAACAGCUUUCACAGGCUCACCAUAUGUAUAAAUACAGAUCAUCACUUCAUUACUUUGAUACAUUUGAUACCAGCCUGAUCGGUGUGUUCACCAUUCUACUUCACUUCACAUUUUAUGAUAUCUUAAGUCAAAUAAAAAGGUCAACAGAG